AUCGUAACUCCUACGGGAGGCAGCAGUGGGGAAUAUUGGACAAUGGGCGAAAGCCUGAUCCAGCAAUGCCGCGUGAGUGAUGAAGGCCUUAGGGUUGUAAAGCUCUUUUACCCGGGAUGAUAAUGACAGUACCGGGAGAAUAAGCCCCGGCUAACUCCGUGCCAGCAGCCGCGGUAAUACGGAGGGGGCUAGCGUUGUUCGGAAUUACUGGGCGUAAAGCGCACGUAGGCGGCUUUGUAAGUUAGAGGUGAAAGCCCAGAGCUCAACUCUGGAACUGCCUUUAAGACUGCAUCGCUUGAAUCAUGGAGAGGUCAGUGGAAUUCCGAGUGUAGAGGUGAAAUUCGUAGAUAUUCGGAAGAACACCAGUGGCGAAGGCGACUGACUGGACAUGUAUUGACGCUGAGGUGCGAAAGCGUGGGGAGCAAACAGGAUUAGAAACCCUUGUAGUCCUAGAGC
rnacentral:rRNA from 1 species